UACGGAGGGGGCGAGCGUUAUUCGGAAUUAUUGGGCGUAAAGGGCGCGUAGGCGGCCCGGUAAGUCAAAGGUGAAAUCCCUCGGCUCAGCUGAGGAACUGCCUUUGAAACUGUCGGGCUUGAGGCCGGGAGGGGGUAGCGGAAUUCCCAGUGUAGCGGUGAAAUGCGUAGAUAUUGGGAGGAACACCGGUGGCGAAGGCGGCUACCUGGACCGGUUCUGACGCUGAUGCGCGAAAGCGUGGGGAGCAAACAGG
rnacentral:rRNA from 1 species